GCAAAAUUUUCGUGCAAUAUAAAUACCUGCCCCGUAUGACCCUGUCGUACCAUAAAACCUACAGAUAAAAAAUAGAGAGCAGUAGAACUGUAGUAAACUCCAAUACAACACCAUUUACUAAACUGAUUUCAACAUAAACAUGUACAUUGGAACAGCUGUUGACUCAAUAAAUGGUAAAGAAUAUAUAAAUUACGAUACAUGUACAUAGGGCAUAGUUGCCAACUCUCACGGAUUCACCAUGAGCAUCACAGA